GAUGAAGAACGUAGCGAAAUGCGAUAAGUAGUGUGAAUUGCAGAAUUCAGUGAAUCAUCGAAUCUUUGAACGCACAUUGCGCCCCUUGGUAUUCCAUGGGGCAUGCCUGUUCGAGCGUCAUUUGUACCUUCAAGCUCUGCUUGGUGUUGGGUGUUUGUCUCGCCUCUGCGUGUAGACUCGCCUCAAAACAAUUGGCAGCCGGCGUAUUGAUUUCGGAGCGCAGUACAUCUCGCGCUUUGCACUCAUAACGACGACGUCCAAAAGUACAUUUUUACACUCUUGACCUCGGAUCAGGUAGGGAUACCCGCUGAACUAAAGCAUAUCAAUAAGCGGAGGA
rnacentral:misc_RNA from 1 species